GGGAGCUCUCCCAUAUGGUCGACCUGCAGGCGGCCGCGAAUUCACUAGUGAUUCGUAUUACCGCGGCUGCUGGCACAGAGUUAGCCGGUGCUUAUUCUGUCGGUAACGUCAAAACAGCAAAGUAUUAAUUUACUGCCCUUCCUCCCAACUUAAAGUGCUUUACAAUCCGAAGACCUUCUUCACACACGCGGCAUGGCUGGAUCAGGCUUUCGCCCAUUGUCCAAUAUUCCCCACUGCUGCCUCCCGUAGGAGUCUGGACCGUGUCUCAGUUCCAGUGUGACUGAUCAUCCUCUCAGACCAGUUACGGAUCGUCGCCUUGGUGAGCCAUUACCCCACCAACUAGCUAAUCCGACCUAGGCUCAUCUGAUAGCGCAAGGCCCGAAGGUCCCCUGCUUUCUCCCGUAGGACGUAUGCGGUAUUAGCGCCCGUUUCCGAACGUUAUCCCCCACUACCAGGCAGAUUCCUAGGCAUUACUCACCCGUCCGCCGCUCUCAAGAGAAGCAAGCUUCUCUCUACCGCUCGACUUGCAUGUGUUAGGCCUGCCGCCAGCGUUCAAUCUGAGCCAUGAUCAAACUCUAAUCGAAUUCCCGCGGCCG
rnacentral:rRNA from 1 species